GAUGAACGCUGGCGGCGUGCUUAACACAUGCAAGUCGAACGAAGCACUUUAUUUGAUUUCCUUCGGGACUGAUUAUUUUGUGACUGAGUGGCGGACGGGUGAGUAACGCGUGGGUAACCUGCCUUGUACAGGGGGAUAACAGUUGGAAACGGCUGCUAAUACCGCAUAAGCGCACAGCAUCGCAUGAUGCAGUGUGAAAAACUCCGGUGGUAUAAGAUGGACCCGCGUUGGAUUAGCUAGUUGGUGAGGUAACGGCCCACCAAGGCGACGAUCCAUAGCCGACCUGAGAGGGUGACCGGCCACAUUGGGACUGAGACACGGCCCAAACUCCUACGGGAGGCAGCAGUGGGGAAUAUUGCACAAUGGGCGAAAGCCUGAUGCAGCGACGCCGCGCGAGCGAAGAAGUAUUUCGGUAUGUAAAGCUCUAUCAGCAGGGAAGAUAAUGACGGUACCUGACUAAGAAGCACCGGCUAAAUACGUG
rnacentral:rRNA from 1 species